AUGGCCCCGCUCCCCCGGGCCGCCCGCGCCUCAGCGAGCCCUACGGGAAAGCUUCCCCCGGGGAAGGUGGGUGUCAGGUGGCCACCGACGGUGUGUGCCUGCCUGGGUGCACGGAGAGGUCUGGAAACAGGAGGAGAAGCGGGCGCUCGCUGCCUUCCCUGCCGCCGACAGCCGCUCGGUCGGAGCGCGCGUCCCGCCGCGUCCGGCGGCCCGCAGGCGCGGACACGGACCCGAGUAUCCCGGACCAUCCACGGCUGGCACGCCGCCGUCCCUGUCCCUUCCAACCCCCCAGGGCAUCGGCGCUACCGGGGACUCUCUCAGGACUGUUACUUACUUCUUUGGAAAGUGGACCUCGUUUCUUUCGUUUUCUUUUGCUUUUGGGAAAGAAAGACAGGGGGAAAGAAAAAAAAAAUUAAAAAAAAAAUUAGAAAAGAAAAAGCCCACGUGUCCUACCUAUGCCCGAUGACCGGCAUAGGUAGCCAGACCCUCCUCCGGGCUCCGCCAGCUGCUGCGGGGACCCUGCGCUGCUGCCCGUGGCUCCGCGCCCGUCUGGGCUCCGCGGGACUCCGCGGCUCCAGGGCUGCGCUCGCCUCUUCCAGGGGUGAAUGCGAGCCAGGGAUGCAGCAGAAAACGUCGCGGGUGCUCUCCGGGCAGCGAGCAGACAGCGAGAUAUAUCUGGGGAGGGGAGGGGGUAGGGCUGGUCCCAGGGACAUUGUCCUUUGGGAAAAAGCUCCUGCCUCUCUUCCAACUCUUUCGCAAGCUCGGACUCUGCCUUGGAGAGGAGAAACCUCUCUGCAGCACGAGCUCCUAUCCCGGCGAGGCUCUCUGCGUGGUUUUCCUCCGCAGACUUUUCCCCCCAGUAGAGGCUGGGGGCCGGCUGCCUCCCGAGGCCCUGCAGAGCACCGGGGGCUUUCCCUGGGUGCUAUUUUUCGGGCCGGGCCGGUGUGCAGGAGAGCUCGGCUCCUCCGGGCUGGAGCGGGGAGAGAGCCCGGCCGGGGCUUCCCGGCGGGAAGACGGGCAGCGGAGUUCGUGCCGGCCGCCCCCGGCCCAGCCUGCUUUUCCUGCUUCCAGGAACAGCUUCCCCCUCCCGACAACGGCGGGACUCCAGCUAAGUGGGGAGCAAUCCACAGCCGAUCUAGAAAUAGAAAACCAGUUGGAAGGAAGCGGGAGCUGCCCGAUUUGCUGUCGGUCAGGCAGAUCUGCCUUCUUUCCUCGACAGGGAUGUUCCUGCCCCGUACGCGGCAGCAGCAACCCUCGAGCAUCCUUCGGGGACCGCCGCAGGCUCUCCCGCGCUGCGGGCACGGGAGCGAGUGCCAUGGGAGGAGGAAAAUGAGGACAGCCUGUCGCACCCUGGCCAGAGGAUGUUCCCAGUCCCUCGGCUGA
rnacentral:lncRNA from 1 species